GGAGAGAGACUGUGGCUCAGUGGUAGAACAUCUGACUUGCAUACAGAAAGUUGUGGGUUCAGUUUCCAACAUCUCCA
rnacentral:tRNA from 1 species